AGUGAACGCUGGCGGUAGGCCUAACACAUGCAAGUCGAACGGCAGCACAGUAAGUGCUUGCUCUUACGGGUGGCGAGUGGCGGACGGGUGAGGAAUACAUCGGGAUCUACUUUUUGGGGGAGGCUAACGUAGGGAAACUUACGCUAAUACCGCAUACGACCUACGGGUGAAAGCAGGGGAGCUUCGGACCUUGCGCGGUGGAAUGAGCCGAUGUGGGAUUAGGUAGUGGGGGGGCCUAAGGCCCACCAAGGCGUCGAUCCGUAGCUGGGCUGAGAGGAGGAUCCGCCACACGGGAAUGGAGACACGGUCCAGACCCCUACGGGAGGCAGCAGUGGGGAAUAUUGGAGAAGGGGCGAAUGCCUGACAAAGCCAUCCCGCGUGGUGGAAGAAGGCCUUCGGGUUGUAAAGCCCUUUUGUUUGGAAAGAACCGCAGCAGGUUAAUACAGCGCUGUUCUGACGGUACCCAAAGAAUAAGCACCGGCUAACUUCGUG
rnacentral:rRNA from 1 species